CGUGCAUACAGACUAUCUACCAUGUGCAAGCGCAUGGAAUGGUCCGGCGUCAUAUGUAAAAGCACCCGGACAUUGUAUUGAAAAUUUCCGAGAUCAGUUUUCCAUGAUGCAUGCCAACCAGUUUAUUUGGAUGCCUUAUCUCCAACGGCAGUUGCCGGAAAGUUGUGAUGCCGGUCGUCCUGUAUGGAUGUCGAUAACAACGCUUAUUUGCUGGAAUCUGGCUGAGCCACACCUGCCGCACCGAGUGUUGCGCCAAUUUGGGAUUGUCC